rnacentral:rRNA from 2 species
UACGUAGGGGGCAAGCGUUAUCCGGAUUUACUGGGUGUAAAGGGAGCGUAGACGGAAUUGCAAGUCUGAUGUGAAAAUCCGGGGCCCAACCCCGGAACUGCAUUGGAAACUGUAUUUCUAGAGUGUCGGAGAGGCAAGUGGAAUUCCUGGUGUAGCGGUGAAAUGCGUAGAUAUAUGGAAGAACACCAGUGGCGAAAGCGGCUCUCUGGUCUGUAACUGACGCUGAGGUUCGAAAGCGUGGGUAGCAAACAGG